AUCAUAUUCAUGUCCACAUCUAGCUAUUACAUAACAUGACUCUACUCCUGCUGACCUCCUGGUCUACCCUGUACCUGCAAAUCUGGGGGUUAAGGGAGAGGGGUGAGCUAUAAAGCCCAGUGAGCAGAAUAGAUAAACAUUAAAUUUAAAGUCCAUGCUUCCAUGAAAUGCAUCAUAUCACAAACAUAUCACAUAAAGGAUGAACUUGUCACCAAUAGCCCUCUACAU
rnacentral:lncRNA from 1 species